CAAGACUGUCAAUGCCAACAAAGACAAC
rnacentral:piRNA from 1 species